UUACAACCAUAGCAUGUUGAAACACCGGUUCUUGUUCGAUUACCGAAGUUAAGCAACGUUUAACCUUGUCUGUACCGAGAUGGCUGAUCACUAGGGAAUACCAGGUGCU